UUCGACUUGGAUUUUCAAAAAUUAAAUCUGAUGAUGGUAUUUCUUGUGGCAGAAUUGAUGAGAACAUGGAAGACACAUUAGCGAACGUAGAGGGCGCACAAGGGGCAUUGCUCAAGUACCUGAAUAGCAUAUCAUCUAACAGGUGGCUGAUGAUCAAGAUAUUCUUUAUACUAAUAUUUUUCCUCAUGGUUUUCCUAUUUUUUGUGGCAUAGUCAUUUGCAGAGAGAGAGAGAGAGAGAGAGAGAGAGAGAGAGGGUUGAAAAGGAAGAAAAUGACGAUGAAUUUUAAUAAUUUUACUGUCGACAAAGCCCUUUGUAUUCUAUUCGUAUCAUCUUUUUGCUUCUUCGAAAGUUCACGCGAGCAUAAACAAGAUAAGUAUCGGGGUUUUCCUAUUGUGGUAUAUAUGUUUGGGAUACAUGUAACUGUAAAAUUUGUUGAGAACGGUGGGCAAAAACUAUUCAUUUGUCUGCUCUGUGAUUGUGUUCAAGUGAUUGGAGAAACUUUAGUAAGGCUGUCUAAUUAAAGCGUCUCUCUUGUCACAUAAAAGGGGCCUAAAAAUUGUGUUGACCACCGACGUGCCCCAAGACAAAUCCAAGUCAUCCUACUGUGAUGUUUUCAGUCUGUCUUGCAUGUUGCGGUUAAUUGCACUUAUAUUAUGAAAUUCCAACAAAAAAAUUGUUAAAUAUUUUCACUUUUCAAUAAAAAACAGCAUUACAUAACUGUUUUUGUUUCUUUUGCCUGAAUUGUUCACCGUAUUUUUUUUUUAAUUUUACAGAAUUAUACAUGCACGCAUUUUCUAUGGAUUGUUUUCUCUGCCUUUGUGAUAACUAAAAGUUACCUUCCCAUUCUCAGUUAAAUCCAGGUACAUUUUUGUUUUCUUCUCCAACAAUUUACUAAAAAUUUCAACAAUAAAAAGCAAUUUGCCAAAUCUUAAAUACACAUGAAACAAAUUACUAGCAAAUAAUAAAUAAAUAAACUACUGUGUUAACUUUUUUUUCAAUAUAAAUGACAACUAAACAAACAAAUCCCCACUAGACAAAACAAACAACAGAGAUAAGAUUGAAGAGACGAAGAUAGACUAACUGAUACGAAACAAGAACAUAUUAACUUUCUGAGCAAUGGCUAUGAGCUGCCCAUAAACCAUAUUAAUUUUCUGAACAGUGGCCAUGAGCUGCCCAUGGUUUAUAGGAAAUUGACACCUCAUUCUGGUCUUCCUGAUUCUCAUCAUGAAGUCUUUUGUGGACUUAUAUUCAUACCGUUUGACUUCCACCAAGUCAUUGAUGGUUACUUUAGGCUCCACCUUGUAAAAUUGCUUAUGGAAAGUCAUCUCCAUUUGCAUGGUUGUGUAAGAAAAUAAAACUAAAAGUCUCAUCUAUGAUUCGGAUUUACCUAAUGUUUUGAAUGAUGGUCUUUUUUUUAAUUAGUUUUUUUGAAUAAAUGAUAUUAUCUACAUUAAGAAUAGGGGUGAGCUUAGUCUCAUAAUAGGUUGAUAAUAAUGUGGUUUAAAUUUAUCUUUGGUUAGAAUCGAACUUAAGACCUCUAAUUUACAAAUGAAUGAUGGUCUAUAAAAAGUAACAUAAAAAAUGCACGAUUUAGAUCAUCAAACAAUAUUGUAGAAUAUUAGAAAGAGAAAAAAGUAAAACGAUACCGUAUAAAAACAAAAUAGUUAUAAAAGAGGAAAAUGUUAUUGGCAUUCCAAAAAUCACAUUCUACACUCCUCACAAGUGUAUUUUUUUUCCUAAUAUAGAAAGUUUAGAGUAUAAAAUGAGAUUUUUGAAGUGCUAAUAACAAUUCCUUAAAAAAAAGUAGUAGUUUAUUUUAUAAAACAAAAUAGGUAAAACGAGACCGUCUAAAGUGGGAAAGGUCAAACAAUACCGUUUGAAUUUACAUCCUAUUUAAAAACUAAAAAAGUUUUCGGUUUUUUAUAUUUUUUAAGCUAAUUAAAAUCUUAAAACCAUCUUCAAUCCUUGGCUUGGUUUAAAAUUUUUAACCCAGUAAAUUUAGGUUUUAAUUCAGAAAUAGUUUUUAUUUUCCAACCAUUAUAGGUUAAAUUUUUAGCCCAAGAUUAUUAAAGAAUGAAUUUAAGAUAUUUUUUUUUUCUUAAAGUAAUUUAAAAAAUAAAUAAAUUAUAGACUAUCAUAAUUUAAUUUUAUGAACAUUUUAAUAUAAAAAUAUUUAGAUUUCGAUAAAUAUUAAAAAAUAACUAAACCAACAUCAUGAAACUCGUGGAGCACUAUGAAAGAAUAUGAAACACAUAAAAGAUUUUUUUUUAAGAGUAAACUGCUGAUUUGCCCCCUGAACUAUCACCCAACUUUCAAUUUGCCCCCUGAACUUUUUAAUUGGAAAAUUAAGGACUUAAACUAAUUUUUUUGGCCAAUUUGCCCCCUGAUAUUAAUUUUUCAUUCAUUCCAUCCAAAUUUCUGUUAAAUGGAAGCAUAUGCACAACAUGUGUGGGUAGUUCGGUCACUUCAUUCUUUAAAAUAAUUGAAAACCUUAGAUUUUUAAAAUAUAAACCUAUGCAAAUAUGUGUGAUUCUAUAGCUUUUCUAUCUGAAGAUCUAGUGAAAUGACGCUUUUGUCCACAAAUGAGAGUUACGUAGUUUGCACAUGAUAAGAGUUAACGUUAAUUUGGAUGAAAUUUAUGAAAAACUAACGGUAGGGGGGAAAUCGGCCAAAAAAAUUAGUUUAAGUCCUUAAUUUUCUAAUUAAAAAGUUCAGGGGCAAAUCGAAAGUUGGGUGAUAGUUCAGGGGGCAAAUCGGCAGUUUACUCUUUUUUUUAAUUAUUUUAGCCGUUAGAUUUAAAUUUGAUAUGUCAGACUUUUUUUUACCGUCAGAUUUGAUCAUAUUAGAUCUUAGCCGUUGAAUCAAUGAAUUUAUAAAUAUUAAAUUAAAAAAAAAUACACAUAUAUGGUGGCCCAGCCUCACUAACCGAGGAGGAAUUCUAGCCUAAAUUUGUCUUAGAAAGGAGUUUUGAGUUAAAAUUUAUAUUUGCCUCAAGUAUUGGAGCAAAUUGGGAUAGGUUUAGAAUCUAAAAUUGAGUUUUAUUCCAAAGAUUGAAAUAGGUUUAAUGAUUUAAGGAAAGGAUUAAGAACAUCUUGAAGCCACGUGUAAAAUACAUAAAAACGAGGGACCAUAGUGCAAAAAUCCCCCGUAUGAAGGUACUGCUGUAGAUUCUUUUCUUCUGUUUUUUUUUUUUUCACUUUCAGUCAGAACUAUAGCAAAAUUUUCUUUAUUAGGUCCAACCAUUCGCGCGAUCUCGAUCCAGACGCAGCGUUUCACCAUUCCCGCGACCUUCAACUCCGAGUCAGUUAUUCCUCACUCUGCUCACAAAAACCUCGAUUCCGCAGGUCUAGGGUUUCAGAUCUCACACUUGUGGAGGUAAGUUCCCAAUUCCGUGCUUCAAUUUCUCUACUUUAAUGUUUGGAUGCUCGGAAAGCUGGGGAAGGGAAAAGAAAAUUGGGGUUUUGAUGUGGGGUUUCAAUUGAAUUUCACAUCAAUUAGGCAAAUUAGCAAUGGCGAAAUUUGUGUGAUGUGGAUUAUCUAAUGGAGUGGGCAUUUGAGAAUUGGAGUGGAUUUCUGCGGUUUCAGGUGGUUAUGCUAUUCUAGAAUUCAAAUUUUGGGAAUUUUAGGGUUUUGGAAGAAUGCAUGCGAAAGCGACGCAAUCGUCGUUUCGGGACCGGACGCACGAGUUUCAGAGUGUAGCGGAGAGGCUAAAGAAGUCGUUCUCAUCAGCGCCGGGGCAGAAUGGGCCGAGUAGUGGAUUGAAAUCGAAAUCUGAGGAGCAGCGUUCCGCGGUUGCAAUUCAGUCGGAGUUCAAUAAGAGGGCCUCCAAAAUCGGGUAUGGGAUACAUCAGACGUCGCAGAAACUUGGAAAGCUGACAAAGUGUGAGUUAUUGAUGAUUGGUUGUAUAAUUGUAAUGUUAUUGCUUUUCUUGUUUCAGUUUGAUAUUGAAAACAAUGCUAAUUGAUAUACGUGGUGUGUAAUUCUUGUUAAUGUCCUGGUGCAGCAUGUCGCUCUUGAGAUUUGCGUUGGUUGUCAUGAUAAUAUUGUUGUUUCAGAUAUUGAAGCGUUAUAAGAUAAUCUUGUGUAACAAUUGUAAAGAACCAAUAGCUUUUCCCAUAUCAACGCUGCACUUAUAUUAUAGUGAUAAUCGACACUCAAAGUUACUAAACCCUACCUCUUAUCCCUCAUGGUGUCGCUACUAUUUUCAAUCGUCUCAUGUACCAUGCUUCAUUCGCUCCGUUGCACUUUGUGGAUGAUGAUUAAAUUAGAUAUAACAAUUAUUGUCAGAUUUCUUUCUUCUUUAAAGUGUGAAUGCUUGGAAUGGCUUAGGAUUGUUUUAAUUUUGGUGGCUUUUGUGUGUCUAUGGCUAUAAAUAAUCAGGUUUCAGAGACAAUCAUUUAUUUAUUCUAAUGCAUCUGCCUUUGUCAUGUAGUGGCAAAGAGGACUUCCGUGUUUGAUGAUCCUACAAGGGAAAUUCAGGAGCUGACAGCGGUUAUCAAGCAAGAUAUUACUGCCCUUAACUCUGCAGUGGUGGACCUUCAGCAUCUAUCUAACUCCAGAAAUCAAAGUGGGAAUAUUUCUAGUGACACGAGUAGUCAUUCAACCACAGUUGUUGAUGACCUGAAAAAUCGGCUGAUGAGUGCCACAAAAGAGUUUAAAGAAGUGCUCACCAUGCGAACUGAGGUAAGACCUAAUGUGGCUGAAUAAUUAUUUCCUGUCAAGUUUGUUAGGCUGGUCCUCUUAGUAUGAAAGCGUUCUACUGUUGCUGCUCCUUAAGUUAUUUUCUAAGACUAAUGAAUCUUUUGGUUGGUUUCAUGAAGAAUUUGAAGGUUCAUGAGAAUAGAAGACAAUUGUUUUCUGCGACUGCAUCUAAGGAUGCUGCAAAUCCCUUUGUUCGUCAACGUCCACUGGCUGCCAGGUCAGCUGCUAGUUCUUCAAGUGCUUCUCCUCCUCCAUGGGUUGGAUCACCCUCUUCAUCACAGGCGUUCCCCAAGUAAGAGAGUAUUUUUUUGGUUCUUGUUGUUAAUUAUGGAUGACUGGUACGGGAUGAUUAUAUUGCAACCCGUUAAGUGUAUGAGUAGCUAUAUUUGUCAUAUAUAAAUUGUCAUAGGGGAUGUCUAUGUAUCUAUGAUACUGGGAGAGUCAUCUUGCACUCCUCCUUAGUGAAAAAAAUAACGGAAGGAGGAGUGCAAGAUGUCAUUCUGGAGUGCUUAAUAACAGUUCCCUUGAUAAAUCCAGUUAAAAUUUUGGGAAUUUUGCACUAAAAAUUCUGGUUUAUUUUCUCUAAAAUAUGCAAUUAGUGUUGCUGCUGCUUGCAUGAUUUCUCUUCUUGAACAUCUUGAAAAUAACUGGCCCCUUUCCUUUUUCUCUCCCUUUUCUUCGUUAUGAUGUUAAAUAAUCUGGAGGAUCAGUCAUCUGAGUCAGUUUACAGUAUUGGCUUCUAAACUUCUGUAUUCUUUCAUAGUGAAUCCUAGAAUUGAAGAUGCUCUUUUGAAUAUUUUAAUCUUUAAACUUUUGAUUGUGAUAUGUUUCUGUCAUGUGGUCUUUUAACUUAAUAUGGAGGCAAAAUUUGAGCUUGCAUCAUAGUGAAACAUUUAUUGGUUUCUGAUUCUACAGGAAGCAGAUGGACGGGGAGAGUCAGCCAUUGCUCCAGCAGCAGCAGCAACAGGAGCUGGUUCCGGUGCAAGACAGUUACAUGCAAAGCAGAGCUGAAGCUUUGCAAAAUGUUGAAUCCACUAUUCAUGAGUUGAGCAAUAUUUUCAACCAGCUUGCGACCUUGGUUUCCCAGCAAGGGGAGGUUGCCAUAAGGUUUCACUCUAAUUCCCGUAUCUUCCUUUGAAUUCAGUUGGUAGUGAUAAGCUGACAGUGCUAAAUGAUAGAUCACUAUUUUUUAGCGCCUUACACACUAGCGUUUUUAUUGUUACUGGUAAAGCAUUGCACAAGCUGGGCAAAACUAAAAACCAUGUUCAAACACAAGCUGGGCAAGAAGCUAAUUAUCCAACAUUAAGCACCAUUUAACCCCAUGAAAUAAUUAUAUAUAUAAUUGAACAAACUAGAGUAACAAAUUGUUCUUGACCAUGGGUAAAGCAUUGCACAAUAAAAAGGUUAGUCUCUGAUGGUGGUUCAAAUAUUUUUCUGAUAAGAUGGGUAGCAUAGCUUAUCAACCAAAUAUCUGUGCAUUCAGUAUGAUCCCGACAUCUGUCUGUAGUUUUCGUUUGGUUCAAAGUUUUCUUGUCAGGCAGCAUAUGUUUUUGAAGUUUGUGGAAAUUGUUAAUCUUGAGGUUCUAGGGUCAAAUCCUGUAUCUCUUCACUAUGUGGUGUCUAUGCAUAUGUUGGGUGUUUGGUCUUGGAUUUUCAAAAUUUAAUUUUGAUGCUGGUAUUUCUUCUGGCAGAAUUGAUGAGAACAUGGAAGAUACAUUAGCGAACGUAGAGGGCGCACAAGGGGCAUUGCUCAAGUACCUGAAUAGCAUAUCAUCUAACAGGUGGCUGAUGAUCAAGAUAUUCUUUAUACUAAUAUUUUUCCUCAUGGUUUUCCUAUUUUUUGUGGCAUAGUCUUUUGCAGAGAGAGAGAGAGAGAGAGAGAGAGAGAGAGAGAG
rnacentral:lncRNA from 1 species